CCAAAUUAAACAUCAUUGUCAUAUUUCAGUCUUGCCCCUGUAAGAGUAUGUGUUGAAUCAUCUUCUUGGGUCUAGAAAAUAGAUUAUCUAUUUUUUCUUUUAUCUCUUCUUUUUCUAGUUCAUGGAUACUGAGGAUGCAUUUAUACAAGCUACCACAACUUGCACUUCAGGUGGUAACCAUUCAACAGCAUUGGUGCCAGAACUCAAGAUUUUACUACAUUAUCGAAACAACUGUUAUGAAUUCAGAACAAAGAACUACAUAACUUCUUUUCAAAGGCACAGACUGGAGUUAUGAUUCCUGAAUUUUGAGUUACUUCUCAUCACUUGAAAAU
rnacentral:lncRNA from 1 species